CAGGGACAAGUGAGGGUCCCGGCUUAUUCCAUAUAGCCAUUUUGGCUUAAUGGCUUAAUGGUUAAGCCGUAAAGAAACACUUCUCUAUGGCUGAGCAACGGUUAGUGUCAUGAACUGGUAAAAGGGGUUUGGUAAAUAACAUGUAAAAAAUGAGUUAUACGAUUUAUUGUGGUUGGGUGACUCAGAAGGAUUAAAGAUGAUAGGUUGCGAGUCUUGAACAGGUGUUUGUUUUUAAUCCUGUGGGCUUUUAUUCAUGCAGGAAAGAAGAAUUCAUGUGCUUUGUGGGGACUAAAAUGGAUGGAAAGAAAUGAUAGAUCGCAUUCCGCCUACGAGUCCAUGAUACGUUUGGUCUGGUCAAUCUGCUGUGUGACGGAAAGCAAAACGGAUGGAGGCAAGGCAAAGCAAAGAAAAGAAAUGGGUGAGUUUGCUCAGCAUCACCAUCAUCAUCAUCAUCAUCAUCAUCAUCAUCAUCAUCUUGAAGUGACACCCAUGGGCUUUCAUACCAGAACUUUAUUCCUUCAUGUUGAUUAAGCCUCUUUUUCUCAUAUUUGGCCCCCCCCCCUUGUUUUGUGGGUUUGAC